rnacentral:snRNA from 1 species
GGAUGUGAGGGCGACCUGCCUGCAACCUCUGUCACCCCAUUGAUCGCCAGGGUUGACUCGGCUGAUCUGGCUGGCUAGGCAGGGGUCCCCUUCCUCCCUCAGCGCCCCACGGGCAUCCCUCCCAAAGCUGCGCGCUCUGGCAAAGAGGACAACCACCCCCGACAGAGGAGGCCCCUUUCCUCGGUCAAGGGCAUUUGAGUAGCUGCGCUCCCCUGCUAGACCCUCCAAACAGCUCUCAAGGAAACUGCCACAGGACCCAUCAGAGGCAGAGCUGGGAUUUGAACCCAGGGAUCCUGGCUCUACACCCAUAGAUCUUGCAACUUGACUGCUUUUUUUU